rnacentral:rRNA from 1 species
UACGUAGGCAGCGAGCGUUGUUCGGAAUUACUGGGCGUAAAGAGUGUGUAGGCGGUGCUCUAAGUUCGGUGUGAAAUCUCCCGGCUUAACUGGGAGGGUGCGCCGGAAACUGGAGUGCUCGAACGUGGGAGAGGAAAGCGGAAUUCCUGGUGUAGCGGUGGAAUGCGCAGAUAUCAGGAGGAACACCGGUGGCGAAGGCGGGUCUCUGGGCAGUAACUGACGCUGAGGAGCGAAAGCGUGGGGAGCGAACAGG